UACAGAGGGUGCGAGCGUUAAUCGGAAUUACUGGGCGUAAAGCGUGCGCAGGCGGUUUUGUAAGUCUGUCGUGAAAUCCCCGGGCUCAACCUGGGAAUGGCGAUGGAGACUGCAAGGCUGGAGUUUGGCAGAGGGGGGUAGAAUUCCACGUGUAGCAGUGAAAUGCGUAGAGAUGUGGAGGAACACCGAUGGCGAAGGCAGCCCCCUGGGUCAAAACUGACGCUCAUGCACGAAAGCGUGGGGAGCAAACAGG
rnacentral:rRNA from 1 species